rnacentral:lncRNA from 1 species
UAUGCAUCCAUCUACUUCCAUCUGUUCUGUCAAGUGCAGAGAGAAGAUGGUAACUUUUUCAAGAAGUCUAAACCAAGUUAGAAAAAUCUCAUCACACAGGACCUAGAAGCCUCCAGUUGUGGAACUCUCCAGUCCACAAGCCCAAUUCCAAUAGCAAAUUGAAGGGUCUGGAAACAAAAAGAGGUGAUUCAAGAUUGCAGAAGAUUAAAGAUGAAGACGUGCAAUGGGGAAUAUGUAGGAGGAAAGGGGACUUGAGUUACCAUGGCAACUGAAAUUCAAUGUAACAUCACUCCAAAAAUGUUCUGUUAGUUUGGGGAGAAUUUACCAAGUUAGUAUCCCACAAUUUGUAUCAUAACCCACAAGCUACCAGGCAGGAAUGGGGCAUAGGAGUGUCAUCCUGAAGCUAGUAAUUUCAUUCUAGUGGAAAUCAGCAGGCUAGGAGCUGGAGUGAACCUCUGGGAAAAGUAACCAGAUUCCAGUUUCAUCUUUUUUCAACUUCAAGAAGCCAAACUCUGCUUCCAGAAUAAAUCUGACAUC